rnacentral:misc_RNA from 1 species
AACGCACAUUGCGCCCUUUGGUAUUCCAAAGGGCAUGCCUGUUCGAGCGUCAUUUGUACCUUCAAGCUUUGCUUGGUGUUGGGCGUCUUUUGUCUCCAGUUCGCUGGAGACUCGCCUUAAAGUCAUUGGCAGCCGGCCUACUGGUUUCGGAGCGCAGCACAAGUCGCGCUCUUCGCCAGCCAAGGUCAGCGUCCAGCAAGCCUUUUUUUCAACCUUUGACCUCGGAUCAGGUAGGGAUACCCGCUGAACUUAA